rnacentral:rRNA from 1 species
CAGAGACUGCGAGCGUUAUUCGGAUUCACUGGGCGUAAAGGGUGCGCAGGCGGCCGAGUGUGUGAGGCGUGAAAGCCCGGGGCUUAACCCCGGAAUUGCACCUCAAACUACACGGCUAGAGCAUUGGAGAGGGUAGCAGAAUUCAUGGUGUAGCAGUGAAAUGCGUAGAUAUCAUGAGGAAUACCAGAGGCGAAGGCGGCUACCUGGACAAUUGCUGACGCUCAGGCACGAAAGCGUGGGGAGCAAAAGGGAUUAGAUACCCCUGUAGUCCACGCCCUAAACGGUGCACACUAGGUCUUGGCGGAUUCGACCCCCCCAGGGCCCAAGCUAACGCGUUAAGUGUGCCGCCUGAGGACUACGGCCGCAAGGCUA